UAGGACAGUUUCUUCUAACAUGUUCUCUUAUUUCUAACUAAAUAAGUACAUUCGUAACUAGACUGGUGAAUGACCCAAAUAAUUUUCAUUUUAUCGAUUUUUUUUGUCAUUCAAUAUCUUCUAUUCUUCUCUCUCUUAAUUCAUAAUUCCUUCUGAGUUCUAACAGAUACACAACACCCACAACCACACACAGCCACACCACCACCACUACCAAUGAUGACUCCAGCACCAAAAUCACCAUCGGACCCAAAACCCAGCUUCACCACCGAUCAAAACACCACCGUCACCUGGUCCGUAUCCACAAUAUCCCGGACCACCUCCGCCAUAUCCACCAGCUGCUGUGUGACCCGCGUAACAUUGAAAAGGGGGCGAGUCGAUCCAAUUCGGUUGAUGCAAUUAAACCUUAAAAUUUUCAAAUCUAAUUUAGAUCUGUAAAGUUUCAUUUGAAAUGACUAAAUAGUGAUGAAAACGAAUGAAAAAACUAGAAAAAUGUGGAGGCCGCCAUUUUUGAGUUUGAUAAAUCGCAGAUAGGUUACAGAGAAGGAGGAGAUGACAUAAUUACAAUUCUGCCCCUCACUGAAAAAACAGAAAAAUAAAAAAAAAACAGUUUUUAAGUGAGAUCGAACUCGGGUAUGUUGAUUAAAAACACAUUCACUUACCAACUGAGCCGACAAGUCUUACAGACAAUUAUUGGUUGUUCUAAUAUUCAAACCACC
rnacentral:lncRNA from 1 species